rnacentral:rRNA from 1 species
GAUGAACGCUGGCGGCGUGCCUAAUACAUGCAAGUCGAGCGGACAGAUGCUGAGCUUGCUCCUCUGACGUUAGCGGCGGACGGGUGAGUAACACGUGUAUACCCUACCUAUAAGACUGGGAUAACUUCGGGAAACCGGCGCUAAUACCGGAUAAUAUAUUGAACCGCAUGGUUCAAUAGUGAAAGACGGUUUUGCUGUCACUUAUAGAUGGUUCUGCGCCGCAUUAGAUAGUUGGUAAGGUAACGGCUUACCAAGGCAACGAUGCGUAGCCGAACUGAUAGGGUGAUAGGCCACACUGGAGGUGAGACAGCGACCAUGCUCCUACGGGAGGCAGCAGUAGGGUAUCUGACGCAGUGGGGGAGAGCCUGACGGAGCGACGCCGAGUGAGUGACGGAGGUCUUCGGUUCGUAAUACUCUGUUAUUAGGGAAGAACAAAUGUGUAAGUAACUGUGCACGGAUUGACGGUACCUAAUCAGAAAGCCACGGCUAACUACGUG